CUCGGAGUUUGAUCCUGGCUCAGAUUGAACGCUGGCGGAAUGCUUUACACAUGCAAGUCGAACGGUAGAGGGGGCAACCCCUCGAGAGUGGCGAACGGGUGAGUAAUAUAUCGGAACGUGCCCAGUCAUGGGGGAUAACGUAGCGAAAGUUACGCUAAUACCGCAUACGAUCUAAGGAUGAAAGCGGGGGACCGUAAGGCCUCGCGCGAUUGGAGCGGCCUAUAUCAGAUUAGGUAGUUGGUGGGGUAAAGGCUCACCAAGCCAACGAUCUGUAGCUGGUCUGAGAGGACGACCAGCCACACUGGAACUGAGACACGGUCCAGACUCCUACGGGAGCAGCAGUGGGGAAUUUGGACAAGUGGGCGCAAGCCUGAUCCAGCCAUUCCCGCGUGCA
rnacentral:rRNA from 1 species